rnacentral:rRNA from 1 species
AUUGAACGCUGGCGGCAGGCCUAACACAUGCAAGUCGAGCGGAUGACGGGAGCUUGCUCCUUGAUUCAGCGGCGGACGGGUGAGUAAUGCCUAGGAAUCUGCCUGGUAGUGGGGGACAACGUUUCGAAAGGAACGCUAAUACCGCAUACGUCCUACGGGAGAAAGCAGGGGACCUUCGGGCCUUGCGCUAUCAGAUGAGCCUAGGUCGGAUUAGCUAGUUGGUGAGGUAAUGGCUCACCAAGGCGACGAUCCGUAACUGGUCUGAGAGGAUGGUCAGUCACACUUGAACUGAGACACGGUCCAGACUCCUACGGGAGGCAGCAGUGGGGAAUAUUGGACAAUGGGCGAAAGCCUGAUCCAGCCAUGCCGCGUGUGUGAAGAAGGUCUUCGGAUUGUAAAGCACUUUAAGUUGGGAGGAAGGGCAGUAAGUUAAUACCUUGCUGUUUUGACGUUACCGACAGAAUAAGCACCGGCUAACUUCGUGCCAGCAGCCGCGGUAACAC